ensembl:lncRNA
ACCCUUGUUGCUGUGAUGUGCUGGGAGAAUCAUAGAAUCAUAGGAUGGCCUGGGUUGAAAAGGACCACAAUCAUCAUCUAGUUUCAACCUCCCUGCUAUGUGCAGGGUCACCAACCACCAGACCAGGCUGCCCAGAGCCACAUGCAGCCUGGGUGAACCCCUGCUCCAUCCCAAACCUGCGCAGGCUGCCACAGGUUUUCCUCUGCGCAAAGGCUCCUGAAAACAGGCUUUGUAUGGUACCCGUAAUUGAAGAGGAGAAAUCUGAGAUUUCUGCAGGCAUUUAAGGACAUAUGUAUAGGAUUUAGAUUCUCAUUAUUUCAUGGCAAGAUAUUUAAGAAUGCAAGCCCGGGCCAUGAGGAAAAAUAUUCUUAUUAAGGAAACAGAAAUCAGGAAUCCUCAAGUCAUAUUGAAACAUGUUUAUGUUCAUUCUUUCCUUUCAUUAUGUAGAAUUGCUCUAGAUUUAACUCAACCAAACCAAAAGAUUAUACUGACAUCUGAAAAGGAAAAUUAUGAAAAUCUCUGGGAGUUUGUUGUAAGAAAGGCUCUUUUAUAUGGCUGGGUUUUGACCCAGUCUCCAAGAGGUCUCCUGUUUGAUUGUAUAGGUUGUAUUAACAUUUUAAUGAUUUUAUUUCUCUGUGUGUAUAGAAAGCUUUUUCAUUGGAAACUCAGGAAAUGGUCUCACAAGAUUUGGAAUUUAA